rnacentral:rRNA from 1 species
UACGGAGGGUGCAAGCGUUAUCCGGAUUUACUGGGUUUAAAGGGUGCGUAGGUGGGUAAGUAAGUCAGUGGUGAAAUCUUCGAGCUUAACUCGGAAACUGCCAUUGAUACUAUUUAUCUUGAAUACUUUGGAGGUAAGCGGAAUAUGUCAUGUAGCGGUGAAAUGCUUAGAUAUGACAUAGAACACCAAUUGCGAAGGCAGCUUGCUACACAGUUAUUGACACUGAGGCACGAAAGCGUGGGGAUCAAACAGG